rnacentral:tRNA from 1 species
GGCCUGAUGGUCUAGUGGUAUGAUUCUCCGUUUGGGUCGGAGAGGUCCCGGGUUCAAUCCCCGGUCAGGCCC